rnacentral:rRNA from 1 species
UACGGAGGGUGCAAGCGUUAUCCGGAUUCACUGGGUUUAAAGGGUGCGUAGGUGGGCAGGUAAGUCAGUGGUGAAAUCUCCGGGCUUAACUCGGAAAGGUCAACUGAUACUGUGCGACUAGAGUGCAGAAGGGGCAACUGGAAUUCUCGGUGUAGCGGUGAAAUGCGUAGAUAUCGAUAGGAACACCUGCGGCGAAGGCGGGUUGCUGGGCUGACACUGACGCUGAUGCGCGAAAGCCAGGGGAGCGAACGGG